UUGGCCGGCCAGUGGCUUUUUUUUUUAAAGAUUUAAGUGAUUGAGACUUAAUGAAUGAUUGCUAGCCAGUAAGCCUUAAAAUACAAUAGUAAAGGAACAUUCUUUCUUUUCGACGCGUGAUUUCGAUUAGGAGGCUGUCUUGUUACUGAGAGUCUAUCUCAGGGGAGGGCA